CGCAUAUUGCGCCCUUUGGUAUUCCGAGGGGCAUGCCUGUUCGAGCGUCAUUUCUACCUUCAAGCUGCGGCUUGGUUUUGGGCGACGGCCAGCCCUGCGGGCCCGCCCGAAAAGCGUUCGAUGGCAGUGGCAAGCGGCAGCCCAAACGCAGUGAAUUCGUUAUCGUUUCGAGGCUCGCCGAAUCCACCCGCCGAACAACCCACCUUUUUUUACCUUUGAACUUGACCUCGGAUCAGGCAGGGAUACCCGCUGAACUUAA
rnacentral:misc_RNA from 1 species